CUGUGAUUCAUUAUUGCCCAGGAUACUUGGACCAUCCCAGAUGCCAAACCUCUAAGUCAAAAGCCAUGGGUGGGUUUGGAAAUCCAAGGAACCCAGGCCUUGUAAACUACCAGGGAGGUGGGGGCCAGGGCGCUGCCAUUCUGAAGCUGGGUGAAGGAAAUAAUGCCACGAGGGAGGUUGCCAGCCCUGAGGGGGUGAGUAAAGCCUGAAAUUUGAGGAAGGACUGGUGGAUACUAUUGUGACUGGGAAUUAAUUAGGACACUCCAAUCCUGGGCCACCUCAUUGCCUUGGGCAGGGCUCAGGGACCCUAUAAAAGAAGAGCAGGCUUAGAGCUUCCCAACUCAUCUAACUUCUUCUGCCCCAUCUUGCUGGUAAACUUGGCCACAGGACUCUCCCGGCAUGUCUCAGCAGCAGCAGCAACAGUGUUGCCCCCCCCAGCAGCAGUGCUGCCCCCCGCAGCAGCAAUGCUGCCCCCCGCAGCAGCAGACUAAGCAGCCCUGCCAACCUCCUCCUAAGUGUGCCCCUAAGUGUGCACCCCCUCCAUGCCAGCAGAAGUGUCCACCUGCCCAGAAGUGCCAGAAGUCCAAGCAGAAGUGAGCUCACCCCUUUCUCCUGCAGAGAAAACAGAGAGCAUCCCAUGCCCAAGACUUCACUACUCUUUCCCCUCUCCAGCCAGCCAACCACUCACCUGGCUCAGGCACUAGCAUGCCUGCUCCUCACUGCUGUUGUGUUUCUGAAAGCAGCGCCAAGGUGGAGGCUUCCUCAAUCUCCACCUGCUAUUACAGUGGUACAGGAUCCGCAACAAGAAUCUCGCUUGUUGGGAGCGUCUACUCAUCACCGCUGACAUGUAUCUACAUCUCGUUUGGCUUCUGGGAAUCCCUGGGCACUGUGCCUGCAUACUCUCUCCCAUCAUUCUGUUUUCUGAUCCAUUAAAAACAUAAUUGCUCUAGCACCAGCUUCUCUGCCUCCAGUUUUAUUUUAUAUUAUCCCAUGAUCCUUAAAGAUUAUUCACAU
rnacentral:lncRNA from 1 species